rnacentral:rRNA from 1 species
GAUCAACGCUGGCGGCGUGCAUGAGACAUGCAAGUCGAACGAAGGAUCGGGCUUGCUCGAUCCUUAGUGGCGGACGGCUGAGUAACGCGUAGGUGACCUACCCCGAAGUGGGGAAUAACUGCCCGAAAGGGUGGCUAAUACCGCAUGUGGGCGCACGUUCAUUCGUGCGAGUAAAGCCGCAAGGCGCUUCGGGAGGGGCCUGCGUCCGAUUAGCUCGUUGGUGGGGUAAAGGCUUACCAAGGCGACGAUCGGUAGGUGGCCUGAGAGGACGAUCACCCAGACUGGGACUGAGACACGGCCCAGACUCCUACGGGAGGCAGCAGUCGGGAAUUUUGCUCAAUGGGGGAAACCCUGAAGCAGCAACGCCGCGUGAGGGAUGAAGGCCUUCGGGUUGUAAACCUCUUUUGUCAGGGACGAUGAUGACGGUACCUGGCGAAUAAGCCACGGCUAACUACGUG